rnacentral:rRNA from 1 species
UCCAAGUGAAGUAGAGGACAGUGGCGGACGGGUGAGUAACGCGUGAGGAACCUGCCUUUCAGAGGGGGACAACAGUUGGAAACGGAUGCUAAAACCGGAUAGGUAGCAGACAAGCAUUUGACUGCUAUUAAAGUGGCUAAGGCCAUGAACAUGGAUGGACCUGCGGUGCAUUAGCUAGUUGGUGAGGUAACGGCCCACCAAGGCGACGAUGCAUAGCCGGCCUGAGAGGCCGAUCGGCCACAUUGGGACUGAGAUACGGCCCAAACUCC